AGUUUGCGAGGCUUUAUCGUACAGC
rnacentral:siRNA from 1 species